UAUAAACACUAUAAAUCGUCCAGGGACUAAUAAUGCAAAUAGGGAAGUUUUCUGGAGCAAAUUUCCUCUUCUGUAAACUUGAAAGCGUCAUGGACUUUGUUUGGCCGAAGCUAGUGUCGAUCGACACCAGGAGUGUGUCGAUUGACACUCCUCUUGAUUCCUGAGUCCAAAAGCAUCCUCAACUUCCUUUUCCUUAGCUUUUGCUCCAAAAUGUCUCCUCAUCUCCAUUGUUGUCCCAUUGCAUGGAAUACCUGAAAAAACACUAAAAAGACUCGAGAAAUAACAUAAAGACUCAAAAACCUAUAUCUAAAACAUAGAUAAAAU
rnacentral:sRNA from 1 species